ACGAGUUUGAUCAUGGCUCAGAACGAACGCUGGCGGCAGGCCUAACACAUGCAAGUCGAGCGCCCCGCAAGGGGAGCGGCGGACGGGUGAGUAACGCGUGGGAACGUGCCCCUUUCUACGGAAUAGCCUCAGGAAACUGGGAGUAAUACCGUAUAAGCCCUACGGGGGAAAGAUUUAUCGGGAAGGGAUCGGCCCGCGUUGGAUUAGGUAGUUGGUGGGGUAAUGGCCUACCAAGCCGACGAUCCAUAGCUGGUUUGAGAGGAUGAUCAGCCACACUGGGACUGAGACACGGCCCAGACUCCUACGGGAGGCAGCAGUGGGGAAUCUUAGACAAUGGGCGCAAGCCUGAUCUAGCCAUGCCGCGUGAGCGAUGAAGGCCUUAGGGUUGUAAAGCUCUUUCAGUGGGGAAGAUAAUGACUGUACCCACAGAAGAAGCCCCGGCUAACUCCGUG
rnacentral:rRNA from 1 species